CCAGGCCUACAAACCCUCUCUGAGACUGAAAUGUCAGCAAGGUUGUGCUGGCAUCCAAGGGAGAGCAGGAUCCCGGCACAGCCACGCUCCCCUCUGCUCUUCCCAGCCGCCUCUUUGCUGCAGUGAGGAGGAGGAGGUAAAUUAGCGCCUCCGUGGGUCUUUGCCACCCACCUCUGGAGAGAGGACUGCCAGCAGUCCUGGAGGUGGCUGUGCCUUGCAUGUGGUGCUUCCUUGCCCUGAGAGAGGACAAUGAGAGGACAACUGAGUGAGCUGGGACAAGAUGGAUUUACUCUCCACUGAGCUCCACAGCUCUUGCUCACACCCAACACGCUACAGACUCCUCAUGAGCAGCAAGACAACUUCUUUCUUUCAGCCCCUCUGCUCCUGCCUGCGCGAGAAGCUGUGUACCAGGGAAGCACUGGCUGCAUGCAGAUCGUGGAGGGCUCUCAUUUCACCACCUGACACAUAAAAGCAAAAAAUAAAGAAGUCAGAAACAUUA